AUGAGUUAAGCAUGGUGACAUGAGGUGGACCCGACCUCCGUGUGAGUCGCCAUGUUUGCUACGUCGCGUUGAAUGCGGUUGUCGCACAAAACGGUUCCAGAAUACAUUGGCACUGAACUUUGAGAACAACUGAGGCUGCUGGGAAAGCUAAUAGUUCUGCGGCUAUGAAGUCACGAAUAAGAGUAAGAAGACGUGGACCUGGAAAUGCAGCUAGACGCUUUUACAAUGAACUUCUCGCACUUUACGGCAAUGUGCCGAGCAGAUGUGGGGACCUGUCAUUCAGAACUGUCGGCCAGCCGGGGGCGUCGGAGGGGAAGCUUGGCAAACAGAAGUGAACAGAAAUGAUGCCAAUCUGCAGCGAAGGAACAACAGAACUCUGCAGAGGUUUGUCAGUGUCCAAACCCCCGUCAGGCAGACUAGUCGCCCCAGUUUUUAGCGAUCAAAUAUCCGUUUAUUGAUCGGGCAUUUUUUGCUGACACGCUCACACUUGCUGUUGGUUGCAGGGGGUCAGUAGAUGGAGGGGGAAUGUUGAACAUUGAUUUGAUGAGGGUAAUGGAAAGAAUGCAUGACUGCAUGACACACACACACACACACACACACAGUGAUGUGUAAACAUCCUCUGAAUGCAGCCCGGCCAGAGGAGCUGUUGUGAACAGAAACAGGAACAGUGUUUUCUCUCCGGAGUGUAAAAGUUGUGGAGAAGAUUUGUAAAAAAGGCAGAUUUCAGAACAAGUAAUAAUGAUGUUGUUGAACCUGCUGAAUCUUCCGUUGUUUUAUUUCCAGCAUUCAGCCGCUGUUUGGGGCUGAUGCAGGUUUCCAGCUCGUGGCUGACAGGGGUUCAUGGACAUGGGCAGCGCAGGAGAUUUAUCUUUGACCUGUGGAGCUUUGCUGCAACAAAAGUGUAAUUCAAGUUGGUCUGUUCAAGGCUGUAAAACCAGAAGACACGAAACAUUGACACUAGUACAGUCCAUUCAGCUAACUCCAAAUCUGAGUUUGCCCCUUGUAACACAACAAAACAACUCAUUUUGGUUUAAUUUUCCAUUAACCUGGUGUGACGACAAGUCUAGAUGUGGAGUAACUUGUGUCUUAGCUUGACAUGGAGACUUUAUCUACAGGUUAACCUUAUUAAGGAGGGUUUAGAGCCACAGUGUGUAAUAUUUAGAAGAAGGUAUUCACAAGAAUUGAGUAUAUUGUCCAUGACUAUGUGUUCACUCGUGUACAAUCACCAUGUUUUCUCGUCAACUCUGAAUGAGUUAAGUGCGGUGACGUGAGGUGGAGCCGACCUCCGCGUGAGUCGCCAUGUUUGCUACGUCGUGUUAAAUAUGGCUGUUGAACGGAACGGCUCCAGAAUACGUCGCGUUUGCGUAGAAUUUUCAGACGCUGCCGGAAACCGGCGCCGCCAUGAAGUGUCCCCUGUCGGUCGCUCGGCUGGUUGCGGUUUGCAACCUGACCACCAGAUGCCGCCAGAACAUUUCACACUGGGGCUUCACAUACAGGUACUUUUUUAAUAAUAAUAAUAAUAAUAACAAAUUUCAUUUAUAGAGCACUUUUAAUACUAAUACUAAUAACAAUAAUGAUAUGAUGAUAAUAAUAACCUAUAUUUAUAUAGCACUUUUAAACAAAACAUAAAAAUUUAUGAACAACAAACAUGUCUGACCGGCCUCUGCUCAUGGUGACUUCACAAAACACCGUGCAGUAUCUGUGUGAGCCUGAACGCACCGUCGCUGGCCGGGGCUUUAUUCUAAAAGGGACCUUUCAAACGUUCACGUGCGUUUUGAUUUACAGAUGAAGAAGGGGGAACCGAACACCAAACACCCAACAUGCGAUUAUUGAAACUACAAAGUUUCCUCUCGUGUUUGUGGUUCAGGUUUCGCAUCUUUGUCCUGUAACUCCCCCUCUCUCUCUUUCUUCACACACUGAGGGACACUGCCAACAACUACAGGAAUGUAAACUGAAGACCCUCCGUCUGUGUGUGUGUGUGUGUGUGUGUGUGAGAGAGAGAGAGAGAGAGAGAGAGAGACAGAGAGAGAGACUCUGGCUCCCCCUGCUGGCUGGAUGCUCUCAGCUGAGCAUUUAUAGAUUUCUCUACCUUCACUUCUCUUUCACCGAGGUCCUCAGGCAGGUCUCUUGGUGCAGCUCAGUUCCUCUCACGUCCCACCAGACGCCGGUUGAGCCGACUGUGUGCGGAGGUUUGAAAAAAUGGAUUGAAAACAGGAAAACAAACUGUCUGGACCCGUUUUGAAUUCUCCCCCCAGGGUGAAACAGGCCUCAGCUGACCUGAUAAGAGCCUUAAGGUCGAUCCCUCCUCGUCCAUGUGCUCCUUUGGAGAGAUGAGCCGAAGACGUCACCGCUUCGGAACCUUCUGGGCGUGAAUGAGAAGAGACUCGCCUCUCUGAUCUUUAAAUUCACUGACAUCAGAUCGUCAGGAUCCUCGGGCUGCUGGCUGCUUCCGUUUGACCUCAGAAGUAUUUAACCCUGGGGACUCGAGCCAGCCCCAGCAAGUCAGCGAGGCGGCAGACGGGUCUGACGCGUUACACUGUUGGCAAAGGAACUCGGUGACACGUUACUGAAUCCUGUUCUUUGUUCCACCUGGUUUAGAUAAAAUAGGUAAAGAGGAAGCGAUGGAUAAAAAGGUCACGGUGCAAUUAAAAGCAGAAGUGAUGUUGUUCUGUUUUUUUUUUUGCCAUAAGUUGGAGCACAUCUUAAAUCCUCUGGUGCUUUAUUCCUGCUGUGGUUAGAAUAAUAAAAGUGAAUGCAGCUUCACACUGAUUUUGUUUUCAUCCCAGCACGCUGAGCGGACCUGGAGAAUGAGCUCUGGUAUUUGAUUUAAGAAGGCGUGAGAAAACACUAUUACAGUUGUGCAACCUACUGUAAACAAAAGCGUCAAUUAGUCAGCAACCUGUUUAGAGUCCUUUAAUCAUCUAUAUUAUUUCAUAAUAGGCCAAGUUUGAAAUUGAUCUGACACCUGGAACGUAGAAUGUCAUCAGAGUUUAUAAUAACACAGAGAUUUCUGGCCUGGUUUUUAGGAUUCAAAGAAAAGAAGAAGGGGAAUGGAGACGCGCACUCUCAGGUUUCCUCCUUUAGCACAAAGACAAUUGUCUGAGCUUUGUCUUUUCUUUUCUUUUUUUACAACCGUGUAUCACAUACUGACAUUUCUGUUUCUUCACCUGUUCAAUGAACAGCGCGAGUCAGUGGAUCAGUAAAUCUCCCCAUGUCCGGUUUGCUGGUGUUCUUAUUAUUCUGUCCACCCCAUGUGCACCUUUUUUCUUAUAGAUUAUCCUCUCAACUGCUUAAAUCAACUCCAGAUGGGGUGUGGUCUUAAUUCCUGCAGCUCAAUGGCAACAAGCUUCUGCACGAAACCACGUUAACAGCGCAGGCUGUGGCUGUUUCCUUCAAAAUAAAAGCUGUAUGUAAUAUUGUAAUAUUGUAAUAUU